rnacentral:rRNA from 1 species
GACGAACGCUGGCGGCGUGCUUAAACUAUGCGAGUCGUGCGGGACUUUACGACGAUCCGCAAGGUGAGAUGUAAAGUUUAGCGGCGAACGGGUGAGUAACGCGUGAGUAACCUGCCCACGGGACCGGGAUAACUUCGAGAAAUCGGGGCUAAUACUGGAUAUGAAAUUUGCUUGCAUGAGCGAAUUUGUAGAGGAGCAAUCCACCCGCGGAGGGGCUCGCGUUCUAUCAGCUUGUUGGUGGGGUAACGGCCUACCAAGGCUAUGACGGAUAGCCGGCCUGAGAGGGUGACCGGCCACACUGGGACUUAGACACGGCCCAGACUCCUACGGGAGGUAGCAAGUGGGAAUUUUGCACAAUGGGCGAAAGCCUGAUGCAGCGACGCCGCGUGAGGGAUGAAGGCCUUCGGGUCGUAAACCUCUGUUGAUGGGGAAGAAAAAAUGACGGUACCCAUCGAGGAAGCCUCGGCUAACUCCGUG